rnacentral:tRNA from 1 species
GGUUGUAGCUCAGUGGUAGAGCGCUUGCCUUUUAUGUGUGGGGCACAGGGUUCCAUCCUCAGCACCA